UUCUUGGUGUUACAGACUGAGAUCCCAGACAGUGCCAAUGUUAGUGUAGCCAUAGCAGGAACAUUCACGUUGAUGCCCCAGUCAGAUUAUGUGAAUCCUGCUGAACACUUGCCACUACAAUAUAACCAAAGAGUAUGUCAGUAGAGCUAUGGAUGUGGACUGAGCUCUAGUGGAGUGUGCUUCUACUCUCAGAGGAGGUCUAUUUCAGCAGAUUCACGACAAGUAAAAAUACAACCCGAGCCCCACUGCAACAAUCUUUGAGAGGAAGCAGGUUGUCCCUUCAUUAUCUCUGCAAACGAUACAAAUAAUCUGGGUGGGGCCUUGAAGGUCUUUAGUCUUGUCAAGGUAGAAGGUGCAGCAUGGGCAGAGGCACAGUACAAGUUUCCAUACAAAGUGGAAUUCCAAUGUCUGUCUAACCUGAAAGUAGAGCCCACCUUUAAACAUGAGAAGGUUCCCUAGACUCAUAUGCUGACAGACUGCAAAAGGGAGUGAUUCACACUGAUGAUGACCCUCACCUGCGAAAGCCCUGACAAUGGAGAGGGGUAUCAAAUUAGUCAGGGAAGGUCUUUCUUUGGACAUCUUACUCUUUACCCCAUUACUUUAUGUAAGAGGCAACAUCUUAGAUCAGUGGCUCUCAACCAGAGGUCCAGGGUCCACAAGCAGGUUUCAGUGGGUCCACCAAGCAUGUCCAGUGUUAGACUCGCUAGGGCCCAGGGCAGAAAGCCGAAGCCCUGCUAUGCAAGACUGUAGCCCCAGGGCCACAAACCCACCAUCUGGGGCUGAAGCCAAACCUGAGCAAUUUAACUUCACACUUCCCCCUGUGGCAUGGGAUCCCAGGCAAUUGCGCUGCUUGCUACCACCUAACACCAGUCCUGGCUUUUAUAUGGAGAAAAACUCCUGGGCCAGGGAGUUUUUAAUAGCAUCUUGUGGGGGCCUCAGAAAGUAAAAGAUUGAGAACCCCUUUCUUAGACGAUACAGGUAUUUAAAGAUCCUCCACCCCACAGAUUCCAUGAAUUGCACCCAGUGGCAAACAGAAAGCCAAUGCAGAAACUUGUGCAAAAAAGUGUUCUAUAUUCAACCUAAUCCAUAUCACUCUGCUCCAUUUUCACCUUAUGUCCAUUAUAUUUUCCUCUGCUGUCCUCCAGUCCUUUUAC